rnacentral:rRNA from 1 species
CCUACGGGCGGCAGCAGUGGGGAAUAUUGGGCAAUGGGCGCAAGCCUGACCCAGCAAAGCCGCGUGAAGGAUGAAGGCUCUCGGGUUGUUAACUUCUUUUUUCAGGGACGUAGAAAGUGCCGGUACCUGAGGAAUAAGCCACGGCUAACUACGUGCAAGCAGCCGCGGUAAUACGUAGGUGGCAAGCGUUAUCCGGAUUUACUGGGUUUAAAGGGCGUGUAGGCGGGAAAGCAAGUCAGAUGUGAAAACCAUGGGCUCAACCUGUAGUCUGCAUUUGAAACUGUCUUUCUUGAGUACUGGAGAGGCAGGCGGAAUUCGUAGUGUAGCGGUGAAAUGCGUAGAUAUUAGGAGGAACACCAGUGGCGAAGGCGGUCUGCUGGACAGCAACUGACGCUGAGGCGCGAAAGCGUGGGGAGCAAACAGGAUUAGAUACCCUAGUAGUC